rnacentral:tRNA from 1 species
GGGUGCAUGGUCUAGUGGUAUGAUUUUCGCUUCGCAUUCCUGUGAAAGGUCCCCGGUUCAAUCCCGGGUGCAUCCA